rnacentral:tRNA from 1 species
CUCUCCGUAGUUCAAUGGAUAGAACAGGGUCCUCCUAAGACUCAGAUGUGGGUUCGAUUCCCGCCGGGGAGGCCA